rnacentral:rRNA from 1 species
CUGGCGGCGUGCUUAACACAUGCAAGUCGAACGGAAAGGCCCUGCUUUUGUGGGGUGCUCGAGUGGCGAACGGGUGAGUAACACGUGAGUAACCUGCCCUUGACUUUGGGAUAACUUCAGGAAACUGGGGCUAAUACCGGAUAGGAGCUCCUGCUGCAUGGUGGGGGUUGGAAAGUUUCGGCGGUUGGGGAUGGACUCGCGGCUUAUCAGCUUGUUGGUGGGGUAGUGGCUUACCAAGGCUUUGACGGGUAGCCGGCCUGAGAGGGUGACCGGCCACAUUGGGACUGAGAUACGGCCCAGACUCCUACGGGAGGCAGCAGUGGGGAAUAUUGCACAAUGGGCGGAAGCCUGAUGCAGCAACGCCGCGUGCGGGAUGACGGCCUUCGGGUUGUAAACCGCUUUCGCCUGUGACGAAGCGUGAGUGACGGUAAUGGGUAAAGAAGCACCGGCUAACUACGUGCCAGCAGCCGCGGUGAUACGUAGGGUGCGAGCGUUGUCCGGAUUUAUUGGGCGUAAAGGGCUCGUAGGUGGUUGAUCGCGUCGGAAGUGUAAUCUUGGGGCUUAACCCUGAGCGUGCUUUCGAUACGGGUUGACUUGAGGAAGGUAGGGGAGAAUGGAAUUCCUGGUGGAGCGGUGGAAUGCGCAGAUAUCAGGAGGAACACCAGUGGCGAAGGCGGUUCUCUGGGCCUUUCCUGACGCUGAGGAGCGAAAGCGUGGGGAGCGAACAGGCUUAGAUACCCUGGUAGUCCACGCUGUAAACGGUGGGUACUAGGUGUGGGGUCCAUUCCACGGGUUCCGUGCCGUAGCUAACGCUUUAAGUACCCCGCCUGGGGAGUACGGCCGCAAGGCUAAAACUCAAAGGAAUUGACGGGGCCCCGCACAAGCGGCGGAGCAUGCGGAUUAAUUCGAUGCAACGCGUAGAACCUUACCUGGGUUUGACAUGGAUCGGGAGUGCUCAGAGAUGGGUGUGCCUCUUUUGGGGUCGGUUCACAGGUGGUGCAUGGCUGUCGUCAGCUCGUGUCGUGAGAUGUUGGGUUAAGUCCCGCAACGAGCGCAACCCUUGUUCACUGUUGCCAGCACGUUAUGGUGGGGACUCAGUGGAGACCGCCGGGGUCAACUCGGAGGAAGGUGGGGAUGACGUCAAGUCAUCAUGCCCCUUAUGUCCAGGGCUUCACGCAUGCUACAAUGGCUGGUACAGAGAGUGGCGAGCCUGUGAGGGUGAGCGAAUCUCGGAAAGCCGGUCUCAGUUCGGAUUGGGGUCUGCAACUCGACCUCAUGAAGUCGGAGUCGCUAGUAAUCGCAGAUCAGCAACGCUGCGGUGAAUACGUUCCCGGGGCUUGUACACACCGCCCGUCAAGUCAUGAAAGUUGGUAACACCCGAAGCCGGUGGCCUAACCGUUGUGGGGGAGCCGUCGAAGGUGGGACUGGAAAU